rnacentral:sRNA from 2 species
CUGCCUCAUUUCCUUCAAUGUAAUAUUUGUGCCCACGCCGAUGCAUGCGCUCCGCAAACUGGAUAUUUAGAUGUUGGAUCACUGCUCUUAGCCAAUGAGAAUCGUCUUCCCCAUCAAUGGGUGCGUUGAUAUUGAUGCCACCAAAAAAGACCUCCUUGUAAUCUCCAUUCAAGCCCAUCACACCUAUAUCGUACACCGAGCCGAAAAGAUCCACUAAGUAGGCACGUUGAUCAACCAGUGUGGUAUAUGGCUUUUGCCAAUAGAGUGAAGCUCCAUGCCAACAGUCCUUGCAAUGUUGUCACGCUCCUCUUUGAGAAUUGGUAGUUCCCGCCUCAGGUGAUGGAAGGCAUUUGUGGAGAGGAUUGAUGCCUUUUAUAUGUUUGACGAAGAGCCUUGUAGGCCCC